CCCUUUAACAAAUUAAUGCUUGAUGAUUUUUAAAUCAUAAUUGGGUGUUUUCAACAAGCCCAUGUAGUUUUAGGAUAAACCCCACGUACCUCAAUUUAGAAAUUUGAUGGAUGAUUCUUGAAGCCUACGGUUUGGGGAUUCCAAAUCUUCAAUCAGUUUCAAAAACCUGCGGUUGAAUCUUGAGUUAAUUGGGUUUUUAGUUUAAAACACUAGAGAGUAUUCUUAUGAAUUUUUGAAGAAAAAAUGAAUAAUGUGGUCACUUGGAAGAAAAAUCUCGUUUUUAAGAUGACAAAGGGGAGGUGGAAAUUACCCAAUAUACCCUUAAUGAGAUGGAAUAAAAUAUAAUUGGGAGCUCGAUUUUAUGGGCCACCGCGACACGGAGCCAUCGCAUUGUCCCACUAGUUGGGACCUGGAACUUCAGCACGACGUGACAUAAUCGCGCUAGGCUACUGGAAUUUGACAAUUGUUAAAUACACCACCUCCGCAACGCGCCAAGCACCAAAAUGAUGGUGUUUUACGACUAGGACUUAAAUUAGCCAUAACAUCUUGUCCGGGUAUCGAAUUUGGACGAAUCUUAUAUCAAUGGAAAGCUCAUUCAAUUUUCCAUACUACAUAAUUGAUUAACAUGGAAAAUUUACAUAGGAUUUAUGGCUUUUGGAUCAUCUACGCAUAGAAAUGACAGUUUUCAUUCUAGCCCGAAAUGCGGGGUGUUACAUUAUCUCCCCCCUAGGAUCAUUCGUCCCCGAAUGAUAGGUAGGAACGUUGAAGCUUAAAGUUAAGGAAUAAUGUGUACAUAAUAUGUCUUCUAAGAAAGGAUAUAACUGAUCUGAAACAUUUAAACUUCUAUCAUGAAACUAAAUUCUGAGCUGACUUGCCCUUACUUAUUUUAAGGAGUUGAUUCAUGCUGAGAGUUUAGGAUUUCCCUCGAAGUAUUUAUGCUUAAAUCACAUACAUUGGAUUUGGAAGUGAUAACUUAGGAAAGUAUGAAUCAUGAGGCAGCAAUAUUUAGAUCGUACAAAGGUAUUACACUGUCUGAGCUAAAAUAGCUGGAAAAUUUUGAGAUUAUGUGAUGAACUCUUACGAACUGAGUCAUGACUAAAUAACUGAAUCUGAAACAUGAUGCUUGGACUGAACUGAGUUCGCAACUCACACGGAUGGAAUAGAUUAUCUUUUGAGAUGGCCAUACGCAUUGGACUUCAGAUAGUAGGACUGGGUGAAAAGGUGAAAAACCACAGUAACUCGUCUGCCUGACUGUUAAACUGAAUUAUACUGGACACUUAUACUUAACUAGAGUAUCUCUUCAACACUCCUUCUAAAGAAGUUCUAAUAGCAUUAGGGAGCAAAUAAUCUCUGACAUGAGUUACACAAGACAUCCAACUAAGGAAUCACAACAGUGACACUACUCUAUAGCAUAGAAUAUAAACAUAUAACUCGAAAACUAGGAUAGAAUUACCAAAACUUAGGCAUUGCAGCUUCUUACUUUCAAGAUUAGCCACACUUCUAAAAUACUCUCUCAACUAUACUUUCCCCUUAAACACUAUGCUCAUUGAUCCACUUAUUUUUCUCAUAUGGCCGCUGAUAUUUCCAUCUACUAAUGUCUAAACUGAACUAAAUCCCCUCAUCAUUUUCAAGACUAACUCAAAAUCACAAGACACACCAUAUAAUACUGUAGUACUAGUCUGAAUCAUGAAUUUAGCACACCCUGCAUUUCACAAUUCCUCAUCUCCUGCAUAAUUCUUAUUACCACUCCAGCAAUCACCUUCAACUUUGUAUUAGACAUUCACAAACACUCAAGGCAUCCAUCCAUAUGCAUACAAACAUGACAUUCAAGCCUAUCUUCUUACCCAUAGAUGCACUUCUAAACAACCACUCAUAAAGCAUAUUUCUCAUAUUCUCUAAUACUUGUAUCCAUAAUAACUUCCUUGCACUAUUUAGAUAAUACACAUAAAAUAUUCUCAACUAACCAACCAUACACAAAACUUCACCUCAAAAUUCUUUCAACUUAUAGACUUACAUAAAACAAGCGUACAAUUAUUUUUCCCAAAUAUAACGCAUAAAACUUCAACUAACCUUGACACGUUUCAAAGACUCGGCCUUAAUCUUACUCCACAAUUUCUUCCUUAACUCAAAUAAACAUACCACCAUCUUUCAUCAACAGGAAAUGUUUACGCUUUCCCAUCUAAACAACUGUUCAUCAUCGCUAUCUCGACCUAAGGGAAAAUGUCACUGGAAAUUGGAAUAUCGGAAUCCGAAACAUAAGGGUAGUACUAAGCAUAACUUGAUACCCUACUAAGGCAUGAGAAAUAGAGUACUCACGGCAUGGACUCAUUAAAGAGAUCUAAUCUGAGGACGUACCUGAUAUAAAUCUGAAUUUUCACUGAUCGUUAAGAGUACACAUGUGCACAAGAGUCAUGAACUGCAUGAUCUGAAUUUUGGAAUUCAUAACUUAUGGAAAGCGAUUCUGACUACUAAACGAACUGGGAACUCAUCAUACUAGGAACCAGGAGAGUACAUGAUUCCUUAUCAUAUGCGUGAACACGAGCUAUGACCAUGAAGAUGAAACAUAAAGCAUGAGUAUGUGUCAGAAUAACUGAGGUAAACUGUUGAAAUAAGAAUAGAUUGAGCAUCAUUCUUUCUCACGACCAAUUCCACAACUUACUAGCACAUCUAUUAGCAUCAGAAAACUUGACUUGGUUACUCGUUCUAUCAUCUCCCCCUUAGAUUUAAGCCAUUACUCUAAGUCUGUGGACCACUAUAUACACUAUGGUAUAAACUGAAAUCACUUUACCCUAGAUUCAGGGAUAUAACAAUACACAUAAAACUAAACUUACCCUGUAAGACGAUAUCUUCAUGUAUAAGAACCAAUUCUAGUACCUUCUUCUAAGAUUCAACCCUUAGGUUUCUAUAGUCCCAAAAUUCAUCAUAUAACAUCUUAAACAUUCACCAACUCAGAUUCUUCUAACACUAAACAUGGAUAUCUCCAAACCUUUGACGGACCAUACCACUUCUGUCAUAGUCUACCAACAUCACGACUCCAAACUUAUAUCUCUCUACUAUGAGAAUCAAGAUCAUAUCAAAAGGCUUAACAUUAUCUAUCAAAACUCCUUAACUUGGCUAUUUAGAACACCAUAUACCAUCUAACUAGUCUUUCUCCACCUAGCAACUCAACGGUAUCACUAGCCACACACAAUAUGUAAUAGCCUCAGAAAAAUACUACAACCUCAUAUCACCUUGGGAUACUUCUACUUCAUACAUACAACAUCAUACUUCAUUACAAAUCAAAUAAACUUAAGCUAUUACAUGCACUGUUCAACCCUAUUAGAUCGCUUCCAUAAAACUAGUAUCAUUAACUAAGAAAUAAUCAGAUUCACCUUCAUGACAUUGCUGCAAUGCCUCAAAAUCUACUACAUACCUUCUCACAAGUAGUACUAGUUUACAACUACCAAAGAAAAGAAGGUCAAGGGGUGGGGGGAGGAGGUAGAGUCACAUCAUAGACAUGGUCAUCCUUAAUCUUAUAUUAUGACCUUGUACAAUAUUAUCUACUUAUAUGGCUUUCUCACAUCACACUUACUUACCCAAGCGUAUAUUUAGACUACCUUCAAAUUCCACAAACAACCUUGUGUCUAUAAUUAUAACUUACGGGCUAAUCUAGCCAUUUUCAUACUUCGAGCAAACAACAACUCACCUUAGCUAAUAAUUCCUUCUCUACCUUCUACUAAACUAACACACAAGGAUGUAUCACUUUAAUACCAACUCAAUCUCAAGCAAAAAGGUUCGGCUAUACAUACAUUCAAUAAAUCGCCCUUACCACUUUUUUUGCCAUUACGCCUCUAAGCCCCUAGUUCCAACUAACACAAGAAUCAACAAGAUGGACAACAAGUUGCUAGAGAAUCGAAAUAGACCCCACACGACUCCACUAGACUUUGAUUUUCAACAACACAACGAUAACAAGGUUACAAGAGAUAGAAACUUGACACAUAAUAAUCAAUGAUCUAAGAAUACAUAUCUUACUCUGUAUGAAUAAAAAUCUGAGUCAAACACUCUCCCCACAGACUACCAUACAAUCCACACAUGCUACUAGCUACCAUUAGGGGUGGCAAAUGGGCGGAUUGAAUUGAAUUUGGACGGGUUAAAUAUAGAUCGAACAAAAAUGGUUUGGAUUGCAAUCUGCCCAUAUAAAUAUGAGUAAAUAUGGAUUUGAUCAAAUAUGGAUUGGGUAAAAAUGGUUCCAACCCACUUUAUCUCCUAAAAUCAAAAACUUAAAACUUCUAUAACAUAUCAAUUUGACUUUUUUCCCGCUUCUUUUUUUUUAAGUUUUUUCUUUUUAUUUUUUUUCUCUCUCUUCUAUAUAUAGCCUCUAGUUUUCUUUUUUUUUUUUCUUUUCUUUUUUUUCUCUCUCUUCUAUUUCUACCCUUUGCUUCUCUUUCUUUUUUCUUUUUUUUUCCUUUUUAGUCUCCUUUUUUCUAGUUUUAAUUUUUUUUUAAUUUCUUUCUCUUUUUUUUUCUUUUUUGGUUUUAUUUUAUAAUUUAUAUUUUUUUAUUUUCGAAGAACAUAAUUAAGUCGAGUACAAAUUAUGAAUGAUGACUAAGAUAUCAUAACCACUCAGAAUAUUUGUAUUCAUCAUCAUUUUUUUCUUUUUUCUUUUCUCCUUUUUCAUUAUUUUUUUCUUUCUGAUUUUUUUUGUAUCUUUUUCUUUACGAUUUUUCUCUCUCUUCUAUCUCUAACUUCUACCUCUCUUUCUUCUUCUUUUUUUCUUUAUUAUUUUUUUGAUUUUUGAUUUUCUUCUUUUUUUAUGAUAACGAAAAUACCAUAAGUGCAUAUUGAUUUAUAUUCAUCCAACAUUUAUAAUUUUUGUAAGUACACUCAAGUGGACUCCACCUAAUGAACAGAUACAGAUAUAGUAUCCAGAAAGAUCUUGGAAUUACAUUCGUCAAACCAAAUAUCUUUAGUAGUCGCAAGAAGUACACAAAUCAAGGUUUCUACAUACUUCCUGUCUUGCCUGACCUUGAGCUCCUCGCUUCGUGCCUUACUUCUGCUCUAAUGAGAACUCUAAGAUGAGGGAGUUAGAAGUCAUAUUUGAAGCUGGACUUUCUCAUAAAUCGAAGGCUAUGUGGAUCCUCAGCCAUAUAUGAAAUGGAAUAAAGAUGGACCGAGCUUACUUAAUACAAUUGUACAUUUGUAUUUAUUUUUUAGACUUCAAGCUCAGAUUUGUAUUUUAUAGUUUGCACCGUCAUAUAUAUUUUAUAUAAUUCGCACUUAUAUUUUAUAUAUAUUGAUACAAAUUAUAUUUUAUUGAUAUAAAUUGAACAAUACAAAUAAAAAUAAUAAAAUUAUGCAAAUACAAUUGCUAAAUUACACAAAUACAAAUGUUACAUUCGUAUCAAAUGAUACAUAUUUAUACAACUUGAACCAUACAAAUACUAAUGAUACUUGUUUAUAUACAAAUAUAAAUGAUAAAAAUACUAAUGACACAUUUGCAUUGAAUGAUACAUUGCAUAUUUAUAUAUUUCAAUCUCAAAAAAAUAUAAUUAAUUCAUAUACUUAUUUGUAUAUAAACACAAAUGAUAAAUUGUACAUACUGACAACUAAACUAUUCAAAUACAAAUAAUAAAUUUAUUUGAAAUAUAUAGUAUGAUACAAGUGAAUUUAAAGUAAAAAAAUAUAUAUAAAAAAUAAAAUGCAAUGACAAAAGAAAAAUGAGGAAAAGAAUAUAAAAAAAAGAAAAAUGAAAAAAAUGACGAACCAAGAAUGAAAAAGGUGGAAAUGGAAAUACAAAAAAAAAAAAGGAAUGCAAAGAAAAAAUAAAUAAAAUAGAAAAAGAAAAAAAACUGAUGAAAACUAAGAAAGAAAAAAAGUGUAAGAAACGAGUAAAAAAUAAUUGAAAAAAAUAAAAAAAGGAAAAGGAAAAAAAAAGUAAAUUAAAGGAAAAAAAGAAAGAAAAAAGUAGUAAAUUAAAGGAAAAAAGACAAAAAAGAGAAAUAAAAGAUAGAAAAAAAAAUAAUUAAAGGGAGAGACUAUAUAUAGAUUAUAUUUAAUUGAUAAGAGAUGCUAUGAAUUGUAUAGGCUAAAUGGGAUAAUUAGAAGCUUAUAUUUAUUAACCCAUGUUGGUCUCAAGCGAAUACGAAUGAUGAAAUAAGAAUGAGAAAGGAGAAAAUUAAAAAAAAAAAUACAAAGAAAAAGAAAUAAAAAUAAAAAAUAAAAAAAUAGAUGGAAAGAUGAGAAAAAAAAAAAGAAAUUAUAAGAAACGAGUAAAAAAUUAAAAAAAUGCAAAAGAAAAAAAGUAAAUUAAAGGAAAAAAGAAAGAAAAAAAAAAAGAAACUAGAAAAGAAGGAAAAAAAUGAAAUUUAAAGCAUAGGUGGGUGAUCUCUAUGUUUUAAUGAGUACCCAUAUUUUACCCAUUUUGCCCAUAUUUGUAUGAGCUUUUAAAAUGAGUUUAAGUCCAUAUUUACCCAUUUGAAAUAUGAGUGAUCCAAUUCAAUAAAUAUGGGUUAAAUGGACUCUUUUCACAAAUAUGGGCUGAAAUUGCCACCCCUAGCUACCAUAUCAGUCUAUCAUUAUAAAGGGGUAAAUCAUCCUCAAACACCAGUUAUUCAACUAAAGACAUUUAUCUACACAAAAGUCAUCCUCACUCUGAUUUCUAACCUUGUGACUUCGUAUAACCAACUUCUUGGUCUAAUCUUACUACCAAUAGGCCAUGACACCGACACUUUAACUCAUACUACUAUGCGGGUGAAAAUACAGUUCCAACAUUCUGCUACACCUCAUUCCCUCUUAAGCAUAACAUCUGCAACAUAAAAAUUUUGAAAGGGACUAAAUAGACUUAAUAUCGCAGGCUUAAAAGCACAAGUUCAUCAGAAUCAAAAUUCACACUAGAAUCAAUACACUCUAAGGCACUAACAGACUCUUCACAAGUCCUUUUCCAAUUUUAAAAUCUUAUAUGGCUCAAGCAAAAAGGACUAUACCAUUAAGAUUCUAGACUCCUACACCUGAAUCACUAUAACAAUGAGACAUAUAUGAGCACAUCAUAGUAAGGAAAGAAUUGGGAUGACUUUACUUUCGUAUGGAAGACACCAUAGCACAAAUUAUAGUAUGAAAGAGGAACAUUCUUACUCCAUAGCACGAACUACAACAUGAAGAAAGAGAAACAUUCCUAAAUGCCUAAUAGCCUUCUGCUUAUAAAUGUGGCGCGCUACACACCCAUAAACAAGACUCUACCUGAUACGAUUUCGCAGACACUCUGGGACCAUGAACCAUGCUCUGAUACCAAGUUUCUCACGAUCCGAACUAGGGCAUAGCCAUGACGGAUAUCCCGAACCAUGAAGGUCUAAACAUCCCACUCUAUCUGGUAGUCAUGCACAAUAUUUAUAUAAUAAGAGAAGAUGCAGAAAUACAAUCUGAUAUGGAAGCAUGGUCAUUAACUCGGAGAUUCAAGACAUAAGAACGAAAGCUGCAAUUCAAAACAUUUGAAUAAGAUCUGACUCAGUCUGCAAAAUCUCUACUACAUCUCAAAACUAUUCUGAAAACUGGGACAAGGCCCCCAGUAGACCAAAAUAACAGAAUAACAUAAUAUGAAAUAACAGGCCUUUGGGAACAAAGAAGGCUCACCACUGCACAGAUCACUUCUCUCUGGAAUCCUCUACAUAUUAGUCGGACCCUUGGACUGAGCCUCCAAAUUUGGGAAGUAGGGGGUCAAUAUAGAUAUACUAGUACGCAAAGCAAAUUCAAAAUAAUAAUUUAUAUUUAACAUAUAUGAGAGCAAUUUAAAAUAGUUCAUAAACAUAUCAUAUUGUAAGGAAUCUCAUGGACGCUUUCGAAACACUCUGUAAAAUUAUCUGAACUCUGUGAAACUCUUUAUUUUACUUCUGCGCUAGGUGGUAUACCCUACAACUCUAAAAUUUCACGGGCUAUAUGGAAUCCGCCAUUGACUCGGCGGGGAAGCCUCCAACCCAAGUGUGCCGCAAGGGUUGGAGUCUCUGACUCUGCUACGCCACAUGGCCAUCGCCAGCGUAAAAAUAAUAUACUCGAAUUGGCAAAUCACAAUUUUAGGCUAAGAGUUACUUGACCUCUAGUCCUCUUCAGGCAACCACCUAGCUCUCUUUAUGCCUAUUUUUAACUCUUUUAAGACAUGCAUUCUCUGAAAACAUACUCUGAAAACUCUAACUCUGUUAUGGCAUACAUUUAUAUGGUUUCGUCAUACCAUUGACGUGCAAGUCACAUCUCUGAGCCAUUUUUAGCAUAUUUCCAUCUCUAUUUUCAAAACAUAAGUUCGGGACCACCAUAUCAAUAAAUCAUUUCAAAGAACUCUUUCUCGAAAACUCAUGUAAACACAUGUAUGCAACUCUCUUUGUCAAACUUUCAAUGAUGCAAAGUGGUCAUGUCAAAGCUCUUAAUCUCAUGCAAAUCUUUCUCUUUUAACAAAAUAUAUUUACAUCAAGAAACUCCCUCUCUUAAAUCUCUAAAUCGUUCUCAAAAUACUAUGGUAUUUGAGUAAAUUAUUAUCAAUCCAUAAAUCAUGCAUUUCAAUCAAUCACCAUAAGAUCAUAAACAUAAGGUUAUUAUAAGUGAGGGAUUUUUCAUUAUUUGUGCACUCAAAUAAAUCUUCAAUUUCAAGUUUCAUACAUAUACUUAUAUGUGUAAAUCAAUUUAAGGGGAUAAGGCCUAAAGUUCAAAACAACAAUAUCAUUAAACAUGCAUAAGGCAUAAUAAAAUCAUGGAUCUCAAAACUCCUUUGAUAAAUUCAUGUUUGAUGAUUUUUAAAUCAUAAUUGGGUGUUUUCAACAAGCCCAUGUAGUUUUAGGAUAAACCCUUCGUACCUCAAUUUAGAAAUUUGAUGAUGAUUCUUAAAGCCUACAGUUUAGGGAUUUCAAAUCUUCAAUCAGUUUCGAAAACCCACGGUUGAAUCUUAAGUUAUUUAGGUUUUUAGUUGGAAACCCUAGAGAGUGUUCUUAUGAAUUUUUGAAGAAAA
rnacentral:lncRNA from 1 species